rnacentral:lncRNA from 1 species
AUGAGUGCCAUCAUCCCAAGUCAAAGAAUAAGAAACCAAGGUUGCAUUAAUGGUUCCUUGAAUCCUAAGGGUGAAGGACAGGCUCUCACCCACAGAUGUGAAGGUCAAAACAUUUGGCACUACUUGGAUGUUUAAAGAAGAUGGAUUUCCAGAUAUUGUUGCCCUAUAUGUGGAUCUAGCUAAUUCAACAUUAGUAAUAGUUCUACCAAAAGUGACAUCGUUGUUCUUUGAGAGAGCGGUUGAUAGAGCAAAAGAUGGGAGGUUAAAGUUGAAAACAGAUACUCUUUUGGCUGAUGCACAAGUGCUGUUAUCUCUCGUAAUUUUUCGCAACCUUACAAUAUUAUAAGCUUGUCCACACAAAAAAUUAAUAUAAUCAUUCGGACCAAGAUCAUAAACUAGUCCAGGAUUUACUGCCUUCAAAGGAUUGAUUUGCCCCGCACCGUAGGCAAAUUCAGCAUCUGAAUUAAGUGCAGGAUUCAUAGGAGUAGCUGUAAAUGAUAAACCAAUAAAUUUGGUCGUAAGCAUAUAUAUACUGGUCAUUAAGAUAUACCACAAAAUAAUUGAACUAAAUCUAGUUUUUUUGAACACAAGUGUACUUUAGGUAGUAAUGAAAAAAUAUUACUAAAAAAAAAUUAAAUAAAAAUCAAUUUUAAAAAUAAAAAAUAAUUAAUUAUAAUAUUAACAAAAUUAAAUACUUGGUAUUUUGGAGAUUAAAAAAAUUAUUAAUAUCUAAAUUAGUUUAUUUUUUUACCUUAUUUGAGAGAAACUAAUAAUUAAUUUUUUUUAUAAGAAUGAGACCACUAAAGUGGUUUAUAUUUUGUUUUUUUCUUGCUGAUAAAAAAAAUCAAUAAUAAUUUUACUUAAAAUAAAAAAACAGUAAAACAUUAAAAGUGAUGUAGAAAAAAAAAACAACGAACUGUGCACCAGGACAAAAAUAACAACAUAAAAAAAAUACUUUAACAGUAAAAAAAAUUAUUUAAUAAUUAUGUUAUAAUAAUAUGACUUAAUGAUAGAUAGACUUGAAUAAAAUUGUUAUCUUAUGAAGUUUUCUGUAAAUUGUUUAUAUAAAAGAGUUCAGAAACAAUUCUUGAUUAAAUGUUUACAUCGUAGUCUCUUUUUUUCGUACAAACUAGUCGCUUAAUUUUUAUUUAAGGAUAUGAGUUACUCAUUAUCUCUCACAACAAAAAUAAAAGUUCCAAAGUUUCAUCUAUAUUAUGUGUGAGAAAGAAUUGGUCUUUUUAAAUUAACCAUGAAGGAUUAUUGAAUUGAGAGAUAAGAAAAGGGCAUAAAAUGAGUUUAGCAUGCAUGGAUGGUAAGGAGACCAUUACCAGUUGUCAUCAAUGCAGAUUUAAGUGCAGCAGGAGACAAUCCGAGAUUAAAUGAUUUGACGUAAACCGCUGCUGCAGUAACAUGAGGGCAUGCCAUUGAAGUUCCAGAUUCUAUAUUGAAAUACGAUAUUUUACUAUCUCCUUUAAUUGUAGAAAUAGGAGAACGUGGAGACCAUGCAACCAAAAUGUUAACUCCUGGAGCUGCUAUAUCAGGCUACACCAUCAAGAGAUAACUUAUAUAUAAGCAAAUGACCUUGAAUUGGUUGGAUUGAUUGUAUAUUGUACCAUGAAGUUACCUUAAGAAUGUUUCGAGUAAUCGUAUUUGGACCUCUUGAUGAGAAACGAGGAAUGUAAGGGGCUGCUGAGUCUAUUCCUUCGUAACUCUUAGAUAUGAUAGCUGUUGAAUUACUACAAAUCGAUGACAUGACAUAUAAAUAAGUUAAUUCAAGAUUAGUUCCCCAAAAUUUUAUAGAUAUGUUGAUGAAUAGUUUUGUACCUUGUUGUCUUUAAAUAAUUAUAUACGGACUUCCCAUCACUUGAGCUAAUGUAAAGUGAUGGCAAGUACAUCUGGGCCAAUUGAAGACACGAAUGCAGUUCUGAAUAUAACACCAGCAGCCCCAGAAGCAAAUUCCACAAAUUUAGGAGAAGCAUAGCCAUCACACAAAACAAUUUUCCCACUCACCAAAGCUCCAUUCAAAGAAUUGUAAGUGCAGAACCUAAGCAAUCCUAAGGUUAGAGUGGAGUUUUGAAUUGUAAUAGAAAGAUUAGAAACAAAUUACCAAAUAAUAAGUCUAAAUUACUUUGCUAAGUUCUUUAAUUAUAUAUAAAAUUCAAUUUCUCUCUCGACUAAUUUAAAAAAAAUAUAAUUAAUCACUAUAUUAAUUAAAUUAAUUAUUAUUUUAAAGACUAAAUUUUUUUUUAUUAAUAUAUAAAAUAAAUUCUAUUAUUAAUAAAUAAUUUUUAAAUUUGUUAUGUAGCAAUCAAUAACUAGAUUCUAAUAUACUAAUAAUAUACCAAAAGAAUUAGUAAAGGUUUAUAAUUUUAUUAUAUUUAAAAAUCAAAACUUGAUUUUCUUAAAAUUAGUUACAAUUUAUUAUAGUGACCUUUUCUAUAAUGUGUAAUUUUUAUUUUUUAAAAUAAAUUAUAAUAUUAUUAUAGUGAUAAAUGUUUAAAAAAAUCUUCACUGUUUUGUAAAAUUAAAAUUUUUAAUCGUUCCAAAGUGUUAACCAUUAAUUCUUCUUUAACGGUGUCAACUUGAUUAGAUGAAAAGAAACAUUGGAUAUUUAAAGAAAAUUUGAACCCUUUCAAAUAGAGAAAGUAUAUAAAAAAUUAUAAAUAAAUAAAUAAAUAAAGUAAGAAAAAGAAUUAAAAGACAGAUAUUGGUAAAUGUUGGUACCUGGAACUGGAACUAUUAAAUCUUUUGUUACUUUUAUAAUAUUUUAAAAGAUAAGUAAAAGAAUUUAAAGGGAUAAUUACCCGGAUGGUCUGGCCAUUGCCCAGUUUGAGAUCACCGAAAAACUUUCUGUCUAUAGUGCUGGCAGCCACAGAAAUGAACCAGGGUGCAACAUUCGUCAUUGUGGAAGGAUUUGGACCCAAAUUGCCUACAGAUUUAGAAGUUAAUAUACCACUCCUCAUUGCAUGGAAAGAUCCUAUUGCAAAUACAUCUUCAAAAUAUUUCAGCUGUUGGACAACUUCUUUUUCUCCCACUGAAAUAGAAAUAAUAUCAACACCAUCCGCAAUGGCUGCAUCAACUCCUGCAAGAAUGUCAACGCCGUUACAACCCGAUUCCCAACAAACUUUAUACACAGCAAUGCGUGCUGAUGGAACUCCUCCUCUUGUUGUUCCUGAGCCAAGUCCAAACAGAUUUGCAUUGGGAACAAGGUUUCCAGCAGCAAUUGAUGCACAGUGAGACCCGUGACCAGUAGUAUCAGCUGGAGAUAUGAUGUCCUCUGGCUUGAAGUUACUCUCAAUGUGAAAAUAUUUUGCUCCAAUUACUUUGCUACAAACAAAUCAUGAAGCAAGCAUUCAUAGAUAAGUAAUUUAUUUGUUACCUUUAUCUUUUAAUAAUUAUUACUUUGAAAAUUUUAUUACUUAAGUUUAGGUGUAUAUGUUUGGAUCCACGUUGAUUUACUAUUGAGGUGGAUGUUCGUUCAAAUUUGACAUUUGACAUGAAAAAAUUUAAAAUGUGAGUUUAAAAAUUGAAACCAGGCAUGCUGUUUAUGUAUGUGUUGUAGCAUGUUAUAAGAAACAUUACUUACUUAUUGCAAGUGAAGUUAUUGCAUGUUCCCUUCCAUUUCUGUGGUGGUGGACCAAAGCCUCUAUCAGUAAAGCUAUUGGCAUUAGGAAUCCAAAUUCCACUAUCGAUUACUCCAACAAUUGUGUUACCUUCCACCGUUGCUGCUCUUGGGACAUUUUCGGGGAAGUUAAGGAAGUUCCAGGACCUUGAUGUUUCAACAUUGUAGACUCUAUCUGGAAUAACAGACACCACACCAUCCAUUCCUGUUUUCGCAAAAUCAUAAUCAAUCAUAUUAAUGUAGGAAUGUGACAGAAACCAAAAAUAUAUUUAUGAAUAAAGCAAAAAACUGAUGAAAAUGUGGUAUGAGCUAAUAGAUGAAAAUACCUUUCAUUCUUUCUGAUUCUUUUUUGGUUAGCCUCGCCACAAAUCCAUUGAAACUCUUGUAGCGAUGCAACAACGUAUUUGAUGCAAAUUUGCUGGAUGGAUAUAUAUGUCAUAUGGAAUUUUAAUCAAGUUAGUUUUUUAAAAAUUUCAUAUUCUUGAUUGAUAAUAGGUUUAAAAUAAAAUAAUUGUUCUCUUUUUAGACAAUAUUAAACUAAGCCUCAAUUUUGAGUGAAAAUCUGUUAGAUGAGUUGAAUAGAAACAAUUAAGGGUUAUCAACCUGCCCAGAACACUUUGAACCAUACUGGUGUGAAAUGAAUCUGUGAUUUCCAUAUCCUUUGGAUAUUCUCCCAUGUAGACUAUAUAAGUCUGUAGCAUGAGCAAGAUAAAUUAAAAAAAUAAAAAAGAAUUUUAAACUAAGUGAAUUUCACGUGGAUGCUUAAACAUUGAAAAUAUUAUGUUCAACCCUUGCAUAAAAUAAUUUUUAGGUUAAUUUGUUCAUUUUGAAUAUAAUCCAAAUUCUUCUUAACUUAAAUGUAAUCCAAUAUUUUCUUUAAAAAAAUAAGCAUUAUUAGAUUUAUUUAAAAAAAUCAUAAAAGGAUAAAAACCUAAGAGUAAUUUAUGGAAAGAUAUAACUUCUCACAUAUAGAAGGAAUGUGGAAGUUAGUUGAGGAAAAAAUAAAGUACAAAGUGAAGUAUUAUAAAAGAGAUGCCUCAAGUACAUUUUUAUAAAGUAUAUUUUUUGUAAGACAAACAAUUUCAAUUGCUAGAACAAUAUUAGAUAUAUAUUAUUUACCUUUCGAUCAUCUUUAGAAAAUGAGGGAGUCAACAGCAGAAUGCAUGCAAGAAUUUGAAGAAGAUGUGACAACCCUAAAGACUUCAUCUUUUGGUGACAGUAAUCUUGAUUAAAUGAUGAAUGCGUUUUUAAGCUCUUUCAACCUGUGAAUAAAUUUAAUUUAUUAUGUUAAGUAUAUAUUUGAAACUCAUAGCAACACAAUAAAAUUUAUGUUAAAUAUAUAUUUGAAACUCAUAGUAACACAAUAAAAUUUUAAAAUUUGAUAUUGGAAAUGAUAAAUAGAAGUAUAUAUACAUAAUAAAUUGAGAAUGAAAACAAUAAGAAAGUAGAUUAGCACAACAAAGUGGAUUGGGUAGCUUUACAAUGUACUUAAAAGGUUGGUUUUAUGAUUUUUUAUUUAUUUGUAGAUUACAGUUAUUUUAUCAUUUCUGGUUGUUGAAGUUGAAUUGGAUAGAUUGAUGAAUGUGUGCAAUCUAUUAUUUUCUUUGAAAAAAUGUUAAGCAUUUUAGGCAUAACAUUUUAAGCUACUGUAAAUUUUGUCCAUGAAAAUUUCACCAUGGUAUGAUAAAUGAACAAUAAUAAUGUCAACUAAGUCUACUUCCUACUAUAUUAUGUUAUGGGUUGUAUUAAUUAUGUUCAAAUUGAAAACUGUACGAAGAGUGAUAUAUGUAUUCUUUUAGCACCAAUAAACUUAUUUAAUUUUUCUAUCAACAAAUAAUAAAUAAAAUUAAAACGAAAUGUUUAAAAAAUACUUCAAUUUUUAUAUAAAAAAUUCAAAUAAUAAUGAACUAGUUGGUUGAGAAAUAUUAUAAUAUAAUGGUUGAAGUAUUUAAUACUCUAAAUUUAUUUAUUAUCUAUAAAAAAAUAUUACUAAAAUUAUAUGUUUAAAAUUAAAUUUAAUACAUUUACAAUUUUUAACGGUCACAUAUUAAGUUUUUUUUCUUUAUUUCUUGCUUUUGUAAUUAUCUUCAACUUACUCCCCCAACACCAAAAUGACAAUCAUUUACCUUUUGAAAUUCAUCUAUUUCCAAAUCAUUGCAUUGUGAAAGUUAUAUAGUGAAAGUUAUAGGAUGAGUACAAGUUAAUCAUUAUUUUCAAAGAAAAGUGUGUCAUUGGCAAUGUUAACUUGAUGUGUCGUGAUCAAGAUAGCUAUACACAAGAGAGUAUGUUGUUUUUAUGUGACUGAGAGAAGAAGUUGUGUAGGGAACCACUUGUAACAAAGUAAUAAAAUAAUUAGAAAUAAACCAAUAAAAGUAAUUAGGGAUGAUGUUGAUCCUUAAUAUUUACUCUUAGUUAUUAUAUAUAAUUAAAAAUUCAUAACAAGAUAAUUAUGUGAAAAGUUAAAUAACUUUGUAUUAAUUAAUUUAAAUACUGAAUAAAUAAUAAAUAUAAAAAAGUAUGAUACAUUCUACUGUUUUAGGACACUUUUUCAAACCAAAGCACUGACUGAACCUAAUUGCAUGGUUUGAAAAAAAAAAUCAAAAACAAUUUGAUAAAGUUUGGUUUAUGAUGGUUUAUAAUUCAGUGGGUUUUCAGUUUUUAAAUUAAGGUAUAAAUGAAACAAUAGAAAUAGAGCAUUGUUAUAUAUAUAAGCAGAGAACAGAAGCAAUAGAAAAAUAUUAGGAGAAAGAGUUAUAAAUGAAUAAUGGAAAUAGGAAUAGAGGAGAGACAUACUCAGCUUGGUCGACCAUAUAUUGAGUAAAGGAUGUCAAUACACACACUCUAUCUUACCUUUUAUAGCCAAUACACACUCUAUCUUACCUUUUAUAGCCACUAGAUUUCGUGGCUUCAUGGUCCACGUUUUGCGCAUUUAAUUUUCAAAUUUGAUUUUCAAUGAGAAAAAUUAAUUUGACAUUUAAUUUUCAAUGAGAAAAAUUGAUUUGAUUGAAUUUUUAAAAGAAAAACUAUGCACUCCAAUAGAAAUUGGAGUUUAUCAUAGUAAUGUAACUAUACUUCUCUAUAUUAAGCCUUUUUUGUUAAAAUAUUCAUCUAGAAGAUAAUAUUUUCACAGUGUAGUGUAUUGAAUAUUUUUUCUAAAAUAUGUUUAAUUAAUUAAUAUGCUUUAAAAAAAAUACUGCAUUUGGAAUUAUAUUUUCUAUUAGAGUUGGAGUAAUUUAUGUCAACAUGUAAACAAGAAUUAUUCUGCGCAACUCAAAUUUUAAUUAGAAAUAGCACUUAAUUAAAACAUUGAGAAUCCGAAUUUAAGGCUUUUUAAGAAUUUAACUAUCAAAUAUUUGUAAUAAUAAAAUUUGGUUUAAUAUUUAGUUAUUUUAAAUUUUAAGAAGUUGAUUUUAUUUAAAUAUUUUAUAAAUUUGUUUUAAAUAAGGUUUUUUAUCCUCACACAUCUCAUUCAUAGACACACAUCUCCUUCAUCCACACUCUUUUUCUUCUUCUUUUUCUUUCAUAUUCAUCUACUUUAUCCAUGUUCAUCUCUUUCAUCCACUAAAUUUUUUUAUUUUUUUUAUACUUUAUUUUGUUGAAGAUUAAUGUUUUAUAAAAAAAUUAAAAUAUUAUCAUAUGUUGAACAAAUCGACUCAAUUUAAAUUAAUAUUAAAAUUAAAAAAUAUUAAAUUAAAUAAAUUUUAAAAUAAAAAACAUUAGUAUUUACUUGAUCCACAUUAAAUUGUUUUAACUAAAAUAUCAAUUUAUAAUUUAAUACUAAAUUAACAUCAGUUUAAAUUUAGUCAAACCUAGAAUUGGUCUUAAAAAGCUAAUAUUAAAUAUCAGUAUUUAUUUGUUAGUAAUGCUUAACCAACACUAAAUAUCAAUUUUGUUAUAGUACCGUUAAAUUUCUAUUUUCUUGUUGUAGUGCAUGAAUUUAAAUGAAAUAGUAAAUAUAUUCGCAACUUACUACUUAAUGUAACAUUGAAAAGGGAUUGGGAAAUGGACUAAAAUCAUACUGUAAAGAUGAAAUUUGCAAAUUACAUACUUUUUAAAAGAUUAGAACACCUCAAUUAUUUCCAUUUUGUUAUAAAUAUAUACUGCUGAUAAAAAAAUAUAACUCAAUCAUACUACUUUAUAAAUUAUUAGUUGGUUUAUCAAAUCUUUUUAGAGUUUGGAGUUAUUUUACAAAGUUUUACCAAGGAAAAUUAUACUAUUUUAAACAUGUCAAUUAAAGUAAUUUGGACACAAAUUAAACUAAUGGAAAGUUUGUUAUAAAAAGUACUAAAAAAUCAUUUAAAUGUAUCCUUUAUUAAAGAAUAUUACGCCUAAUAUUGUAUAAACAUAAUGAGUUUUUUUAUUUAUUUAAAAAUACAAACAAUGAAGAACCACAAACUGAUAGGUCCCUCAAAACAAGGAUAAGAUGAGAGAAUGUCUGGGUAGAGCACGAGGAGGAGUAAACACUUAUCCAAACCAACUUUAUCAUUGUUUUUUCUUUUGGCCUUUUAUUUAGAAUUUUCUUCAAGAAAAAAACUUAUUUUAUUGGGAAAAUAUCUACCUCUAAUUCUAAUUAAGCUGGAAAUAUAAUUAAGCUUCACUUUUACUCUUUUAUUUUUAUUACUUUUAAAAGUAAAGGAAAAUGUUUUACCUUUAAUUAAAGAUUCAAUUAAUUGCAUUUCAUCUAUAUCACACCUAAUUAUAAUCUAAUCACUUUUUUAACAUCUGAAAUGUACAUGAAACAGUUAAUUUUCUUUUUUCCAAGAGAAAGUGUCCCAUCUAUCUCACAACAUAUAAAUUUCAAUCUCAAAAUGGAUAUAAUUAAAAAAAAAAUUAAUACUUAGAUAUGUAAUCUAAUAUUUAGUUUACAUUAAACAUCUAAGAAUCUAUUGAUCAAAAGAGUCUAUUAAAAUAAUAUAAAUAAUUUAAUUUUUUUUUAUAAAUAUUGUCCUUUUAUUGUAUAUUUAUCUCACAUUUAUUCGUUUAUUUAUUAGCGAUUAAAUAAAAGAGUCUUGAGAAUCUACAUAGCACCACAACCCGUCCAGUUGUCAUUUCAAAAAAGAAUUUUUCUCCCUUUUCCAAGCUUUCAGUAAAGUAGUUUUCAAACUUCCCUCCCCAAUUUUUCGACUUCCAGCUCUCCUUCAAAUCUUUCCACCAAAGAGAGACUUUGUUGUUAUUGUCCCUCUGCUCUUUCAAGCUUCUCCAACCUCCAUACUUAAACUCCAUGAUCUCCAACCACAACCCACGCUUGUCCAAACUCAAACGCCAAAUUCACUUUUCCUAUAAGGCCAUGUUUCAUGAGAGGACGAAACAUAUUGAAAUUGAUUGUCAUUUCGUUCAUACUAAACUUUAAGAAGGUCUCAUUUAUUUAAUCCCAAAUUCUUCCUCUAAUGGUUGAUAUCUUGACCAAACCUCUGCAUCCUCGGUCAUUUCGUGACAACUUAUCCAAGUUGAACAUGAAAGAUAUACAUGUUUCAGCUUGUGGGGUGUUAUUAGAUGAUAAAUAUGAUCUCAUAAUAUUUUAGAUUUUCAAUUAUAACUACUUUUUCAGUAGUUUUGGAACCUUGUGUGGUUGUAUACUCUUGGCAAUAAUUUUGCAACAGUUUUUCUCUUUCUUCAUGUGCUAGAUGUUACCUAUACUUUUUGUACGAGUGCGAGUUUGUAUAAGGGUUGUGAUAUCUCUAAAGUAUCUCGGUUUAUUUAAUUUUAUUCUUUGCUGAUAAAAAAAACUGUUCUAUCAAUUAUAAUUGUUCUAUUGUAACGGUUCAAUUAGUUCAAUCUCUUGUAGGUAUGAAAAAUAUAAAAUUAAUGUGUAUACUGGUUGAAAAAUAUAAAAUAUGUGAUAUUCAAAAUUGGUAGUUGGGGUGAUUUUAAAUAUAACAUGUGUUAAAUUCGAUAUUAUAUUCUGUUUUAAUUUUUGUGAAUUUUGUUCUUUACGAUGGCAUUGCUCAAGCAAUGGAUUACCACUGAAGAAGAUUUAGAAACAAACAAAUUUGAAAAAGAAGUUUUGGAGACAAAGAUAAAGUUGAAUACUGAGUGACAAAGCCCAUCGUUUAUGAAGGCCAGAGUAUAGGACACACCAGUCACGUUGAAACCCACGUAUACAUGCAUAAUGUUUAUGAGAAAAACAAAUCCAUCUUUUAUAAAUCAUUAUAUGUGUCAAACUUUUCAAUAUUUUCUAUAUUACACUAAUCCCUUAUUGGUUUGAAAAAUAUUACAGCAUGAAUUUCUAUAAAAUGAAUUGUUGUAAAUAUUAAAAAUAGAUUUUACAGAAUAUAUCUAAAUAAAAUUUUGUUUUGAUAAUAAUAAAUUAUAGCAAUGAUCAAUUAUGUAAUUAAUUAAAUUAACUUUCAAAAUUGUUUGUAAGAAAAGAAACACUAAAAAAAUAUUAAAUAAAAAAUAAUUUUAGAUAUUAAAAUAAUUAAUUAAUGUGUAAUUAAAUUAUAGAUAUUUUGUAAAAUAAAAAAGUUAUUGAUAUUCGAAAAAGUUUCUAUUAUUAAUAAAAAAUUAUAAAUUAAUUAUAAAUUAAUAUUUAAUUAUUAACUACCAAAAAUUUUAAUUACUUAUUAUUUUAUAUUUUAAAUUAAUAUUUAUUAGUCUUUUAAAAAUUAAUUUAAAAUUUAAAAUAUUAAAACGAUUAUUUAAAACUAUAUCAAUUUUAAUUACAAAGUUAAUUCACAUAAAGAGUAAUGAAUUGUUUGAUUUAAUCAAAACAUUUAGGUUUCAAAUCCGUACCAAUAGUAAAUAAAAAAAACAGUUCUACUUAAAUUGUUUACUUGGACCACAUAUAAAAAAAUUCACUCGAUGAAUUUCCACGCGUAAACUUUUUAUAAUAUUACUACUGCAAAUCUGCAUAUUUUAUUUAUAAUAUUAUCAUAAGUGUAUCUAUAUGUAUUCGCACUCUUAUAUAUUUGUAAUUUAUUUUAAUAAAUAUAAAUACAUAUAAGGAAACAUUUAAUAAUUAUAUAUUUUAAAUUUAUAAAUAACAUAUAAAAUUAUAUGUAAUAUGGUUUAUUUCAAUUUUAAUAUUAUACAUAAAUAUAGAUAAAUAAAUAAAAUGUCUCUAUUCCCGUUAUUUGUGUUUAGGAAACAAUUUUCUGUGAAAUUAAGUUUAGCCAUUACUAUAAAAUAAAUCACAGGAGGCAAAUUAUACUUAAGAUUGAAAUUUACCUUUCACGACACGUUUUUUGUCAUGAUUAAUUAUAUGUUGCAUUACUAAGAGGUGUUUCUCAAGCUUCAACCAAAAUUCUUAUUAAAGAAUGACACCUUGAAGGAGAAAAUGAAAAAUUUACGAAAAAUGUUGUUUGUAAAGAUAUUUUGUUAUCUCAAAAAUCAAGUAUUGUUAAUUUUAUUUAUGUUUAUAAAUAUAAGUAUAUGUGAAUAUUCUCCUUAUACUAUUUGUUAUUAUGUAUUAAAGGCAACAUAAUAUAUAAGGAUCCCUUUAUAGUUAAAUGAAGAUAUAAAUACAAAGCAUUCACACAUUUAUCUACACAAACAGAUAAUUACCAAAAUAUAUAUAUAUAUAUAUAUAUAUAUAUAUAUAUCACUAGUCUAUCUAUAUAUAAAGGGGAUUCUCCUUUCUAACUUUCCUUAAUUUUUUUUCAAUUUUAUCCCUAUAUCAAUAUUUGGUUUUAUUAAAUUAUUAUGGGCAUUACGUCAUUUUUUUAAAAUUUUUAUAUUUUCAUAUUUUAUUUUUUUCAAAAUUUUUAAGUUUAAAAUUUUUCAAUUUUUCAAACCCUAAAACAUUUUCUUAACACAUUAAAUUUUUCAAAAAUUUUAAAUUUUCAAAACUUUUAAAUUUUUCAAUUUUUCAUUCCCUAAAACCAUUUCGAAACCCUUCAAAUUUCAAAAUUUAAUGUUUCAAAAUUUUUAAAUUUUUAAAUUUUUAAAUUUUUAAAUUUUUAAAAAUUCAAAAUUUUUAAAUAUAUAAAGGGGAUUCCCCUCUUUAACUUCCCUCAAUUUUUUCCUAUUUUAUCCUCAUAUCAAUAUUUAAUUUCAUUUUAUUAUUAUGCGAUAUUUUCUAUUUUCUCAAAUUUUUUACAUUUUAAAAAAAAUUAAAUUUUCAAAUAAAGCUUUUCCGAAACACUUCAAAAUUUUCAAAGUUUUGAAUUUUGUUAAUUUUCAAAAAGAAAAUUCAAAAUUUUAAUAUUUUCAAAAAUUUUAAAUAUUUUUAAAUUUGAAACUAAACUGAAGGCUAUAUAACCCAUUAAACUUCGUUUUCUAUUUUCAUAUUCAAAAUAUCAGAAGUAGUAGUUUCGUUCCAAGAACCACGAAAUCAACUAGUUAGUACUGUUUUUCAAUGACUUCUGCCUAGUUAGUGCUCACAAAUUCGUAAGUAUGUAUAUAAUUAUUGUUUUUUUUUAUUUCUUAUAAUAAUUGGCAAAACCAAUCCAUGAACAAAGAUUCUCCAUUUUCUGUUUCGUCGAUAUUUUUUUUAUGUACUUACUUGUUGUCUAAUUAAUUAUUAUAUUUUUUGCUUUUUGUUUAUAAUAUCAUAUGAGCGAAUUUCUCAUUUAGUGAAGGAAUAUGUGAGGCUUUCCAAAGCUUUUUUUAAGAGAAAGUGUUCAAUUUUUGCUUUCCUUGAUUGCCAUCAACCCGACAAACCCGAACCCCUUAUCCACCACACUACAUUAUAUCUAAAACGUACUUCAAAUAAUUUUUUUUUUAUACUAUCUAUUGUAUAGUAAAGUCUACUUUUAUUGUAAUUACUUAAUAUAUCACUCUUUAUAUUAGAUUGUUGUUGUAGUUGUACUUAGUUUUUGUUAAACACAUUGGAAUGGUAUGUAACAGAGUUGACGCGAGUCUUGGGGUUGUUAGAUCAAACCUGCAUAAGCUAGAAUAAGAUGGAAGAAAGAUGCCCUGCUUGACAAAAGAAAGAACCAAGAAGCCAAAGGCAAAACCAAUGUUGCACCAAAAAGAAAAAGAUAGAAAGUGACAGUGAUGAAUUGCAACAGAGAGAGCGAAAGAGAAAGAUAUAUUUUCUAUAUUAUUAUGCUCAAUCGGUACAAGAGUGUAUGUAGGUGCUGGAAAGUAAAAAACAGAAACCCUAAAGAGAAAAAGCCCAAAAAUACAGGGGCCCAAUAAAAACAGAAUAUAGAUUCUUUAUCAGUAUGUUUAAAAAGAAACAAGGAUAACUACCUAUUUUGUUCUGUUAGCAGUUUUUCCGGUUGGGUUGUUUCGACAAUAUAUGCUUAUUAGAUUUCUGGUUUGGUUGUCUUUGAGUUUAUAGAUCUCCUGUGGUUGGAAAAUGUCCCCAAUGCAACACUCAGGCAAAAGAAUGCAUUCAUGGAUUCCUUGGAUCAAUUGAGAAAGAUAGUUGUAAUGUCUUUAUUGAUUGGGUGUAAAGUAAUCAAAUAAAACAAGUAAGUCUUUCCUUUGAAAUUGGUUAUAAGUUACUGUAGAAAUAAAAAAAAACAACAAAUAAAGUCUCGGUAGUGUAUAGUUUGCCUUGCCUAGGGAAAAUUUCUUGCUGAAGGUAUUGGGUAAAAACAUUUUUAAAAACUAUAAUCUUUGAGUUUUAUUUUAUCGACAAAUAUUUUAAACAAUGAAUAGUCUAUUACUAUAAUAAAGGGGAUUCCCCCUUAGCUAUUUUUCUUUCUCCAUAAAUUACUUCUCCAUUUUAAAAUUAAUAUUUUUUUUAAUUUUUAAAAUCAAUAUUUAGUAAGCUGGUUUAUGCACACGUUCUUGGUUGGUUCUUUUUUAUUAUUUUAUUUAAUUAUUUUGUAACUACUUGAAUGCAAUUUUUAAAUUUUCAAAUCCUAAAACUUUUUUUGAAAUAUGUGUCCAGAAAAUAAAAUAAGACUCUAACAUUAUACUUUUUAAAAAUGUUUUUACCCAAUAACAUCAAUCAGAAAAUUUACCAACGCAAUAAGAGAUGUACUUUAUUUGUCAUGUUUUUAGUUUUUACAUUCUCCUUUUAUAGAAAUAUAUUUAUAUGUUAAGAAAAUAAAUAUUUAGAAGUCUAUUUAUUUUUUAUUGAAAAAAUUGGUCUCAUAAGUAUUAAUCACUUAAAAAUAUAUAUUACUUAGAAGGAUGAUUAAUUACUCGCAUUGGUUAAGCCAAUUGACACCAAAGUAUAAUAAUUUUAUAUAAUGAUGAUGAUAAUGACUUUUAUUUAUUUAUUUAUUAUGUAUUAUAAAUUUUUAUAUUGUUAAUAUAAGUGUGCGAAUAAUGACAUUUUUUAUUCGAAUUUUAAUAUUAAACAUAAAUAUAUAUAAAUUAAAAAAUUAAAAAAAAAUGUAGAUACACAAGCGUGAGACUGCCUGUAUUCCCACUGGUAUAAUAUAAUGUGGAAAUGACUUUUGUCCUAUUUUGGGUUUUGUAAAUAAUGUUAGGUUUUCAUUUGCAGUACUUCAUAGCAGUAUUCUUCUUUUAUUAAUUCCUCAUAGUUUUUUAACUCAUAUUCUGUUUUUGAGUUUGAACUUCAAUGUGUCUACUUGAUAUAUUUUUGUAUAAAUUUUAAUUUAGUUAUAUAUAUGUAUAUCAUGUUAAUUGAUGAAUGUUAUAUCUAUUUAUUUGUUUUAUUUAUUGAAAAAAUACUUUAAAAAUAUAGAUAAAUAAAUAUAAUAUAUGUAAAUAAUUAUGGUUAAAAAAACACAAGAAUGAUUAAAUGGAAAGCCCUGAGAAACUAGUAACCCUGCAUAAAUGUUUCUUGUAGUGAAGGAAGAAAAUAUAAAGGUAAGUAAUCAAAUCAAAUCUUAAAUUAAAAAAAAAAUACAAGAUAAAGAUAUGCAAAAGUAUUUUAUAAGAUAUUUGAAAUUCACUUCCUAAGCUAAAAUGUUUUUCUUUACAUUGUUAUUCGAGUUUUACAAUUAUAAGAAUACUUUACUUUAAUUAAUAAUUAAAGAUAAGAUUAAAUUAUAUUAUGCAAGUAGUUUUAAAUCUUAUUUUAUAAAUUGGUUUUAUGAUGAGAUUGGGUUAGUUUUAAAUUUAGUAUUUUUAAAAUUUUAUUUUAUUAACCAUUAGAAAGAAAGUUUAGAUUAUAGUAUAUUGGUGAAGUAAAAGACGACUAAAGAAUGUCAUAAUAUAAAAGUAUAGAAAUUACAAUAGUUGAGAUACUUUAAUUAAAGAUGAUAUAAAAAUGUUUAAGUAAGAAAGUUAGGAGAAAGUAAAAAAAAAAUAAUAAUGUUUAAUCUAUAUCUUCUUCUAUAUAUAGGGGAUUUCCUCUUUAACUGUUUUUUUUUUACACAUUUAUUUUCCCAUCUUAUCUUUAUAAUAAUAUUUUAUUUUAUUAUUUUAAAAAUAUGUAAUAAGAGGUUUUUUGUCAUUUUAUUGUUAUCUUGGACAUUUCUAUCAUUUUGUUUUUUGGUACACUCUUAUUUUUUAUUUAUUUUAUAAUCUGAAAAUCAAACGUAACUCUUUUAACAACUUUUCACUUCUCUCUCUUUCAAAAACUUCUCAUUUUCCUUUCUAUAAAAAACUUCUCAUCUUCCUCUUUAUCAAAAGCUUCUCACUUCCCUAUCUAUCAACAACCCACCUCUCCCUCUCUUAAAUCAGUUAGAAUAUUAAUGUAUUUAAAGCUUUCUCCCUUCUCUCUGAUCCCCUUUUGUCUCUUUGAGAUACAGACUUCCAUUCUCAAACUUUUUUUUUCCUUUUCUCUAUCACACACAUAUAUAUAUAUAUACAUACUCUGAUCCUCAUUUUUUUUUCUAUUUUUUCUGGUUUUGUUUCCAUUGUUCCAUCCUCUUUACGCACAUUGCGUUUUUGUAUUGGUUUACAAUUGUUGUCAUCAAGGGCAUGAAGUUUGAUCCAUUGGUUGAAUUAAGACAAGUGGCUAUUUGUCUACCGUGCUCUCUUCUCCAAUUCCCCUCACUCACUUUGUUUUCUCACUCUCAAAUGAGUACAUUUCUCAAAUUCUUUUUCAUAAGACACUACAAUGUAAACCUAACCACAUUUUGUUUUAUGCAUUUUAGAUAUCCACAUGAUGUCGUUGCUUAUUUCUUCACUAUUUCCCCCUAAAUCCUUUUACUUCUUUUUUUAUUAAAGACUCAAAUGAUUGUUUUAUAAACAUUAAUCAUUCACCAUUUCUUUUGUGUCAUCAAAGAUAAUUUUUUUAAGCCUUUAAAACUAAAAAGAGAUAAAUGUUUUAUUAAGCUUAUUUACUUGUUUCUCUUUUUGUUUUCAAACUUAUUCGAUACGAAGGUGUAAAAGUCAUUAAUUCAGAAAGGUAAAGAAGACCACAGGAGGAAGUACAAAGAGAAAGAUGGAAACAACCGUAUUUUGUUUUUCUUAUUGACUCUUUUAUGUAAAAGAAAGAAGAGAUGGUUACUUGAAGAUGAUGUAUUUGUAUUCGUUCUAAUUAACAUUAAUGGUGACAUUAAAUUUAUUAAAAUAUUUUUUCUCAUUUGUAUAUUUAAUUGAUGGAUUUAAUUUUAAUAAAUCUUAUUCAAUUUUAUUAAAUUUUUAAUAUUAAACAUAAUUAUCUAUAAGUAAUAAAAUAAAAAAACUCACUAGUAUAUGUAAUUUUCUUAUAAUAUUCAUCUUUCAUAUACUAAAAUUAAAAAAUAUGUCUUAUAUAACAUAUGAGUUGGAUUGGAUUUGAGUUUAAUAUCGAAACUUAACCCUAAACUUUUAAACAAUGAUUUUUAAUUUGAUUAAAAUGAGUUUGAUCAAAACACUUAAAAUAUAAUAACCCACAAUAUUUGGAUUCAAUUAGAUUGAAUAAACUUUUUUUUUAAUAUUAAGUAAUCUUCUCUUUAAAAAAACACUCUACUUACUUGCUAAUUAAACUUCCUAUUUAUACUACACAAUUUUGGGCUUCUUUACUAUUUAUAUUUUUUAUUUAGUAAGUUCACACUUUAUAUUUUGACCUUUACUUUGAGUAUUCGUAUUGGCCUUGUCAAAUUGAUUUUAACUCUGUGUACGGGGUUUUAUAUUUGCAUUCUUCUGAUUAGACGUAUCUGUAAUCUGGUAGCCGUUAUGUCGGAAAUCUCAAAGUUCCUCACAGACUUUUGGUUUCUCCGCACCUUCACCAUUGAGUGACUUUGAAUAAUUUUGGCUGGUUGAACCAUCACUGUAAGAAAAUCAUAAAAUAGAAAUCAAUUUUUAGAAACCAAAAUAAUUAGUUACGGAACUAAAAUAAAGACAAAAAAAAUUAGUUUCUAAAUUNNNNNNNNNNNNNNNNNNNNNNNNNNNNNNNNNNNNNNNNNNNNNNNNNNNNNNNNNNNNNNNNNNNNNNNNNNNNNNNNNNNNNNNNNNNNNNNNNNNNUCUAAAUUGGUAUCUAAUUAGCAAUCAAGGUUUUAGAGACUAAAUUUAAAAACUAAAUAAUUGAUAUCUAAAACCUUAAUUGCUAAUUAGAUACCAAUUUAGAAACUAUUUAACAAUAAUAGAAAAUAAUAAAAAUUAAUUUAGAAACCAAUUCUUUUUUAAUUUUUAAAAUAGUCUCUAAUUUAGUUACUAUUGCAACUAAUUAUUUUAAUUUCUAAAAAUUAAUUUCUAUUUCAUGAUUUUUUUUAGUGCAUUCAAUGGUCUUAGAGAUGAAGAUUUUUCAAUUACCAAUUUUUGGUAUUUCCUAUAGUUGUUGCACGGAAAGUCUUUUGCAUUUAAUGCUAUUAUGAGUGAAGGGUUGUAUUCACGUGCAUGAUGAUUACAACUGACAUGGUUGAGGUGAAGAGUCUUUUGUUGUGUGUCGUUGGAUGGGUUUAAAUCCUGCGAUUCAUAAAUAAUGUCGUUUUGUGUGUCGGAGACGUUUGGCUUCCUAUAAAUAUAUAAAUAGUCAAUUAUUUUCAUGAAUGACCCACACGUGUUCCUUCUUUUGUCUAAUAGUCGAAAAGUUUCUAUUUAAAAGGUAUUAUGUCUUCCUACCUCUGUUUUUCGUGUUUGGAAGGGAUUCGACUUCAUUUGGGAGUGCUUCAAAGCAGAGAAUGAAGCUAAUCAAGGGGUUGUGAGUUCCACUAGUUUAUCAUUGAUUGAAGAUACUAUAUGGUAACAAACCAUAUAUGUAUUUUUGAGGUAUUCUCUUUCGCUCAACUAAAAGUUUAGUGAUAGGUAAUUUUAAAAUUUCUUCAGUUUUAGUUUGCUUUUCCUUUUUAAAUUCGUGUUUCAAUUUUUUUAAUUUGUAUGUACUCAAUUAAUAAUAAAUAGUUUUCUAUAGAUUAAUAAGGUGUAUAUUUUGUGGUUUGUGAAGAGGGUUUGUCUUUUGUUAGAUGAAUUGAAGUGACAUAAGAUUAAAUCAUUCUUAAAAUGAUUUAUAUUUAUUUAUUUUUUUUAUUGAUAAAAAAUAAUAUAUAUAAUAUUCUCCUUCCCAUUAAGCUCCCAAAGCAAAACAAAUGCAGAGCAAUAUGAAAGAAAAAUGGUAUUGUAGGCCUCAAAUGAUCAUAUAAAAUAUAGUCUGAUCGUAAACAAUAAAAAAAUUUGAUUACGUAAUCAUGAACUGAAAUUUUUCUGCUAUUUAUUGAUGUUUAUUAAAGUCAGUCCUAUCAAAAUGUUUUUUUAUAUUCCAUUUUUCCUAUUUAUUUUCUUUGAAAAUCACUGAUUUCUCUACUUGUGUUAGAUAGAGCUUAUUAACAAACAAUUCAAAUAAUGAAAAAAAAGAAACAAAAUACUUAUACAUAAUCAACAAUAAACAAAAAAUUCUUAUAAAUGAAAACUGUGAUCUUAUAAUAAAUUACACUAACAAUAGUUUUUCUUUGAAUUUGACUGUUGUAUUGAAGUAAGGUUCUUUUUCCCUUAUUCAAAUGUCAUAAAAAAAAAACUCAAUCAAUAUUAAAUUAUUUAAAUUCAAAAAAGUUUAGACUUACUUCAUUAGUCAUAAACUUUUCACACUCUAACCGCCUUUUUAUUAAUCCAUUUUUUAAAAUAAAUAUUAAUUAGUAAACGACGGUAAUAUUUAAAAUGUAUCUUGAAUUUCACCUACAUAUUAUUAGUCAAUAAAUCAAAAGAACAAAAUUAUAAACAUACUUUAGAGAAGUAGGAUUUAAAAGAAGAGUUAGAAAGGUAGUGGAUAGAUAUUUGGGUAUCUUAAGUUCUUUUUCAAGUGACAACUCCAACAUUAAGGUCUUUAAAUUAGCAUAUUAUUUAGUGACUCUAAUAGGAAUUUUGAUUGGGUUUUACUCAAGAUUAAUGGUUGGAGAUUGGACAGCCAAAUUAUACUACAGAAGUAGUAAAUGUAAACCUCAUUUUAUAAGUUAAUUUUGUGAUGUUAAACUAAACAUUAAUAAACUUAUUAAUAUGGAAUAAGACUUUAUCCUAACGAGAUAUCUAGACAUGCGUUGGAGAUGCUCAAUCUUUGACACAAAGGAAUAUAUUUAAGAUUUCACAUUUACUAGAAAUAAGAACAAAUUAAUAUAUAUGAAUGAGUACAAAUCUUACCUUACAAAAUGAUAAAAUCUUCUCUUUAAGUUGUGAUUACACUUACCACAACUCAAAAGAAUCUCAAUAAAUUAGAUACAUCUCAUGAACCUCCUUUCUUCUUUAGUUUUAAUUGAAUUGUGAUAAAAGUAUUUUAUAAGAGUUUAUUAUUUGGUUAUUACUAUAGUUGUCAUUAUCUGAAGGAUUAUGGAUGACUACAGUAUAGUGACAUUUAUAUUACUAAGAAAAAUAAGGUUUUAACAUAUCAAAUAGUAAAAACAAACAUUGUAGAACCGUUUUUUAAAAUAAAAUAUUAUAUUAUAAUAAAAUAAUAAUUUAUUUAAGUGUGAAAUGAUGGUUUAAAAUAUCAUUUACACAAUGUGAUCUCAUUUCAAUAACCAAUAAUAAUGAAUGUAUAUAAAAUAUAAUAACGACAUAUGAAGGAGCAGUAGAAAAUACUUUGGAUAAAAGUAAUUAUUAUCUUGAUUUUAUUCAUGGCUUACAUAGCACUUUAUCAUACAUUUGGUGGCUUACAACACACCUAGAAAAAAAGAAAGAAAAACAAACAACAAAUUAAUCUCACGUUGGUAACAGAGAAUUUAUGGAACAUAAACAACAAUGGGGCUCCUUGCCGAAUGCCAUCAUCCCAAGUCAAAGAAUAAGAAACCAUGUCUGUAUUAAUGGUUCCUCGAACCCUAAGUGUGAAGGACAACCUCUGACGCACAGAUGUGAAGGUCAAAACAUUUGACACUAUUUGGAUAAAGAAGAUGGAUAUCCAAAUACUAUUGCCCUAUGUACAGAUGGAUAUCCAAAUAAAGGUAAAUUUUUAAACUUAAUUUUAAAUAUGUUAAGCAUGUAACAAAAUCCAUCUAGUGUUUGCCAAUGUACAAAGGUUUUGUAUUCUGUUUUCUAUAUUAAUAUCCUUAGGUGGUAUAUUUUAAAUACAGAGUUUUUCUUAUAAAAUUGUAUAUCUUUGUUUCUCUCUAUGUUUGAUUUUAUUGGAAACAGAGAAAAUUUGGUAUAGUGUUAAAUAAUAAUUUACUGAAUUAUCAAAAAGUUAAAUAUGUUCACUCUUUUAAUACUUGACAUUCAUUCCAACAAAGUUAGACGAUAGUAUAGAUUUAUGACACCAUUAUUUUAAAUCCUUCUAUAUUUUAUCAAACCAAAUUUAUAUAAUAAAAAUAUUAUAUUUUUAACAGGUAAAAAAUCGUAGUAUAAUGACAUUUAUAUUACUAAGAAGGAUAGACGGUUUCUCAUUUUAAUAACCAAUGAUAAUGAAUGUAUGCAUACAAUAUAAUAACGAUAUCUAAAUUACUCAGAAAGAGCAGUAGAAAAUACUUUGGAUCAAGUAAUUAUUAUCUUGAUUUUAUUCUUGGCUUACAUAGCACUUUAUCACAAGUUCUGUGGCUUACAACACACCCAGAAUAUUUCACUAAACUUCAACAGGAAGAAAAAAAAAGAGAAACAAACAACAAAUUACACAAUCAUUACCAUUCGCCUUGGUAACAGAGAAUUUAUGAAACAUAAACAACAACAGGGCUCCUUGCCUGAUGAGUGCCAUCAUCCCAAGUCAAAGAAAAGAAACCAAGUUUGUAUUAAUGGUUCCUUGAAUCCUAAGGAUGAAGGGCAACCUCUGACCCACAGAUGUGAAGGUCAAAACAUUUGGCACUACUUGGAUGUUUAAAGAAGAUGGAUAUCCAGAUACUCUUGCCCUAUAUGUGGAUCUAGCUGAUCCAACAUUAGUGACAGUUCUACCAAAAGUGACAUGGUUGUAACUUGAGCGAGCGGUUGCCAGAGCAAAAGAUGGGAGGUUAAGGUUGAAAACAGAUCCUCUAUUUGCUGAUGUACAAGUGCUGCUAUCUCCCGUAAUU